UGCCCUCUCUCUAUCUCUCGCUCGCUAUCUGUAAGCAAUCCCCCUCUCUUUAUUGCUUUUGUUAUUAUUGUUGUAGAUCUUGAUCUGGAUUCGGACGGGAUUAGUCUUGUUUUGGUUCUAUAGUUUGUCUUUUUUAAUUCUCUAGAUCUGACCCUUGUUAGAUUUGAUCUGUUUUUGGUAAGUUUUUCAAUGACCCUUUUGUUUGUUUUGUUUGCUGGUAUUGACAUUAAGAAGAUUAUGAAUCUAUAAAUUUGGCAAGAAGAUCCACCUUCUUCAACAGCAUUCCUGAUCGUUUCUUUUAGCUUCUUUGUUCUGCUCCUCAUUUCCUCUGCUUCUCUACAGCUUCACUUUUAACAUGAUCUUCAUGCACUGUAAGUCAUUCCUUAACUCCAACACCAACUCCAGUUUUUAAAACAUCGGUCAUCAUCUUUUCAUUAUGGAAUUGCUCAGCAAAACAUCGGUCACCAUCCUCAAUGAGUCACAAAUGCACCUAUUGCUUCAUGAUCAAGAAUCAAAACUUGGAGUGCCCAUCCUCUAAUAAUUAGGCCUUUGCCUUCCAUUCUUCCCUCAAAUCCUUCAGGUAAACAAUCUUCCUUGUCUUCUUGACCCUUUUUGCUUCUUCUAACUACCCAGAUAAAUUGAUGCCCAGAAGCUUCGAGACCUGCUGCAAUCUCCUUAAGCUGAGAGGCAGUGAAGUUCGCCAUGCUUCCAAAGCAAAUAUAAACAACUGAAUUUGGUUUCUUUGAGUCGAGUCACUUCAACUGAAUUUGCCAUGUUGAGCAAUUGAGGCUUCUUUUUCUCUUCCUGCUUUAUCUUCAUUGUCUCUAUUGGAUAGUGAAACCUGUUAAUUAUUGGAGACAAGCAAGCCCCACCAUGUGCAAGUGGGAUUACCUAAUCUCCCACUUAGCACAUGGUGGAGGACUCCCCCUCACUCCCAUUAAUUGUAUAUUAAUGUACCCCUCCUGUGAUGUGUUUGUGUGCGUAUGAAGAACACAGAGAGCAGCGUGAGAAACACAGAGAGAAGAGAGAACAGAGAAGAAUAGAGAGAGCUUGAGAGAGUAGAGUUGAGUUGAGAGAGUUUUAUCUCCUCCUCCUUUGUUUGUAUUGUUUGUAAGCUUCAUUAAUACAAACCAGUAGCUCCGUGGAGUAGGCAAGUUGCCGAACCACGUAAAUUGUGUGUGUUUGAGUUCUGGAAAUAUCCCAACAACUGGUAUCAGAGCUUGUUCUUGACAAAGAGGGUGUUUGAUCCAAACUCAAAAAUCAAAGUUCUCCAAACGUGUUUUUAAACAUACCAUCGUGUAGAGGACAACCGGAAGAAUCCACUGUUGCAAACCCGGCGAAGAACCGACGUUCUGCAUGCCCGCACGCGCCAACACGCGCCGACGCCCAGACUGCCCACGCGCACCAACGCGCCGUACGCGCGCCACGCUCCAUCUUCGCCCGGCUUCUGCAAAACGGGUCGGGCUGACCCGCCACGUCAGCACAGACGUACGGUCACGUCCGCGUCACCUGCCACGUCACCUGCCACGUCAUCGCUGAGUUUUGUUCCGAUGUGUCGCAGAAGCUGAUAUUCUGACAUGUGGCUACAUCAUAACCGUUGAGGGGUUUUGAUCCAGUACGACGCAGGAUCCAAUCAGUUGACACGUGGUUAAAUCAAGACCACUAUUGAGUAUUGAUCCAGUGUGACUCAGGCCAUCAUCUGCUGACACGUGGCUUCAUCAUAACCGUUACUGAGUUUUGAUACGGUGUGACGCAGGACCUAAUCUGCUGACACGUGGCUUCAUCAGAACCGCUACUUAGGUUUUGAUCCGGUGCGACGCAGGCGGUACUCUGGUUGACACGCGGCUGCAUCUGCACCGUCCGUUAAUUCAAAACUUUGAUUGCUAAAAUCUGAGCCAUCCGAAGUCCGAUUGGGGUGAUCUCAGUGUCAUUUCCAAGGUUUUCGGCUGUUCCGGACACAUCUGUAAGGUCAGAUUUGAGAAAUUCGAAUCGGAGAAGUAGUAAAAAUGGCAGAUGAAAUAAAAGCAGCUGGAAUUGAAAAAUUUGACGGGACAGAUUUUGGAUACUGGAAAAUGCAAAUUGAGGAUUAUCUAUAUGGGAAGAAACUUCAUCUUCCCUUGUUGGGGAGCAAACCAGAAAAUAUGCAAGAAGAAGAUUGGCUACUUCUUGAUAGACAAGUUCUGGGCAUUGUCCGGUUAUCCUUAUCAAGAAGAGUUGCUCACAAUGUUACGAAAGAAAGAUCCACUGCAAGAUUGAUGGAAGCCUUGUCUGGGAUGUAUGAGAAGCCAUCAGCAAAUAAUAAAGUGCACCUGAUGAAAAAGUUGUUCAACUUGAAGAUGGUCGAAAACACUUCUGUGACACAACACCUCAAUAACUUUAAUACCAUCACAAAUCAAUUAUCAUCUGUUGAGAUUGAGUUUGAUGAUGAGAUUCGUGCACUCAUUUUGCUAGCUUCACUUCCAAGCAGUUGGGAAGGCAUGAGGACAGCCGUGAGCAAUUCAGCUGGAAAAUCCAAACUGAAGUAUGAUGACAUUCGAGACUUGAUUUUGGCUGAAGAAGUGCGAAGGAAAGACUCGGGUGAAAGUUCAAGCUCAGGAUCAGCUCUCAACAUCAACACUCGAGGGAGGAGACAUGAUAGAGGCUUAUCCAGAGGCAGAUCAAAAUCAAGAUGUAGAAGUAAAAGCAAGUUUGGACCCAGAAAGCAGGUUGAAUGUUGGAAUUGUGGCAAACCUGGUCAUUUCAUGAGGAAUUGCACAAAACCGAAAAAACCUGAAGCUGACUCUGCAAACGCUACCACAAAUGAGGUGCAAGAUGCUUUGAUUCUUGCUGUGCAUAGUCCUGUUGAUGAUUGGGUUCUUGAUUCUGGUGCUUCAUUUCACUGUACACCACACCAUGAAAUGAUGCAAAACUAUAUUGCUGGAGAUCACGGUGUAGUCUAUCUGGCCGAUGGACAACCAUUGGAUAUUGUGGGUUUAGGAGAUGUACAAAUCAAGACAAUGAAUGGAUCUAUAUGGAACUUGCAAAAUGUAAGGCAUGUUCCUGAUCUAAAGAAGAAGCUGAUCUCGGUCGGACAACUUGAUGAUAGUGGUCAUUCAAUCCUUUUUUCUGGAGGUAUGUGGAAGGUAUCAAAGGGAGCAAUGGUUUUGGCUCGUGGAAAGAAAACCGGCACCCUGUAUAUGACCACAAGAUUUGCAGACAUUAUUGCCUCUACUGAAGCAGAAAAUCAAGCACAUCUAUGGCACUGUAGACUCGGCCAUAUGAGUCAAAAGGGGAUGAAGAUACUUCAGUCGAAGGGAAAGCUGGCAGAAUUAAAAAAUGUCGAUCUAGACAUUUGUGAAAGCUGUGUUCUUGGAAAACAGAAAAAGCUCAGUUUCUUGAAGGUUGGCAGGACCUUAAGACCAAGAAAGCUAGAGCUGGUACACACAGAUUUAUGGGGACCGUCUCCAGUAGCAUCUCUUGGAGGUUCUCGGUAUUACGUGACUUUCAUUGAUGAUUUCAGCAGGAAGGUAUGGGUUUACUUUCUGAAAAAUAAAUCUGAUGUGUUUGAAACAUUCAAGAAGUGGAAGGCUAUGGUUGAGACUGAAUCAGGUCUGAAGUUGAAAUGCUUGAGAUCCGAUAACGGAGGAGAAUACAUUGAUGGAGGUUUCAAAGAGUAUUGUGCUGUUAAUGGUAUCAGAAUGGAAAAGACCGUUCCAGGCACACCGCAACAGAAUGGCAUUGCUGAACGAAUGAACCGGACCAUCAAUGAACGAGCUAGAAGCAUGAGGUUGCAUUCAGGGCUACCUCAAACAUUCUGGGCUGAUGCAGUUCAUACUGCAGUUUACUUGAUCAACCGUGGACCAUCAGUUCCUUUGGAGUUCAGAUUGCCCGAGGAAGUAUGGAGAGGAAAAGAGGUACAACUCUCUCAUUUAAAGGUCUUUAGGUGUGUUUCCUAUGUUCAUAUAGAUUCUAAUGCUCGCAACAAGUUGGAUGCCAAAUCCAAGAAAUGUUUCUUCAUCGGCUAUGGAGAUGAAGAAUUUGGCUUUCGGUUCUGGGAUGAUCAGAAUAGAAAGAUUAUCAGAAGCAGGAACGUGAUCUUCAAUGAGAAAGUUCUGUACAAAGACAGAUCAAGUGCAGAAACAGAUAAGGCUGAUUCAGAUACAAGGCCACAAGGAUCUGAAUUCAUAAGAUUAGAAGGCCUUCCCGAUGUUACUGAGCAGAACAACAAUCAAGAGCCUUUACAAGAAGACUCAAGCAUAUCUGUACCCGCUACUACACAAGAAGAAGCGGAGCAAAUUGAACCAGCUGUUCGCAGGUCUUCGAGGACGAUAAAGCCCCCGCAACGGUUCACACUUUUACUGAAUUACAUUUUGUUGACAGAUGGUGGUGAACCGCUAACUUAUGAAGAAUCCUUACAAGAUGGAAACUCAAGCAAGUGGGAGUUAGCCAUGAAGGAUGAGAUGAGUUCGUUGCUGAAGAACAAGACUUGGGAGCUAACCACACUGCCUGAAGGAAAGAAGGCUUUACAAAACAAGUGGGUUUACAGAGUGAAGACUGAGCAUGACGGAAGUAAACGGUUCAAGGCAAGACUUGUUGUCAAAGGGUUUCAACAAAAGAAAGGCAUUGACUACUCUGAGAUAUUUUCUCCAGUUGUGAAGCUCACAACAAUCAGAGUUGUUCUGGGGAUAGUAGCUGCAGAAAAUUUACAUCUUGAACAGUUAGAUGUAAAAACAGCAUUCCUUCAUGGUGACUUGGAGGAAGAUAUUUACAUGCAACAGCCAGAGGGGUUUGCAAUGCAAGGAAAGGAGAAUCAAGUCUGCAAGCUACAGAAAAGCCUAUACGGUUUGAAGCAAGCUCCAAGACAGUGGUACAAGAAGUUUGACAACUUCAUGUGUAGUUCGGGAUACACAAGAUGCCAGGCUGAUCAUUGUUGCUAUGUCAAACAUUUUGACAACUCCUACAUCAUUCUACUAUUAUAUGUAGAUGAUAUGUUGAUUGCAGGAUCCAGCAUUGAGGAGAUUGAUAAGCUGAAACAGCAGUUGUCAAAACAGUUUGAAAUGAAGGAUCUGGGAGCUGCUAAACAAAUACUUGGCAUGAGAAUCUUCAGAGAUAAAGACAAAGGCGUACUAAAGCUUUCACAAACAGAGUAUGUCAAGAAGGUUCUCAGCAGGUUUAGUAUGGAUAAUACUAAACCAGUAAGUACACCACUGGGGAAUCAUUUCAAGCUCAGCAAAGAUCAGUCACCAAAAACUGAGCUAGAAAGUGGAUACAUGGAUAAGAUUCCAUACGCCUCAGCUAUCGGCUCUUUGAUGUAUGCUAUGGUCUGUACCAGACCAGACAUUGCCCAUGCAGUGGGAGUUGUAAGCCGAUAUAUGAGCAAUCCUGGAAAGCAGCAUUGGGAGGCGGUCAAAUGGAUCAUGAGGUACUUAAAAGGUUCCUCGGAAACUUGUCUCAGUUUCACAGCUGGUGGUUUGAAACUUGAAGGUUUUGUAGAUGCUGAUCUAGCAGGAGAUGUUGAUAGCCGAAAGAGCACUACAGGAUAUGUAUAUACUCUAGGAGGGACUGCUGUUUCCUGGAGUUCUACCUUGCAAAAGAUCGUCGCUCUUUCAACAACAGAAGCUGAAUAUGUUGCAGUCUCAGAAUCUGCAAAAGAGAUCGUAUGGCUGCAGAGUUUCCUGAAAGAAUUGGGCAAGAUGAAUGGAAAGGGUACUUUGUAUAGCGAUAGUCAGAGUGCAAUCUUCCUUGCCAAGAAUCCAGCAUUUCACUCCAGGACGAAGCAUAUUCAGAUCAAAUAUCACUUCAUCCGACAACUGCUGGACGACGAGCAACUAAUGCUAGAAAAGGUCUGUGGAAGCAAGAAUCCAGCUGACAUGUUAACCAAAGGAGUUACACUUGAUAAACUGAAGUUGUGCAAAACUUCAGUUGGCCUUCAAGGAUAAAAGAUAAUUUCAUUGUUUGUCUCCAAGUGGGAGAUUGUUAAUUAUUGGAGACAAGCAAGCCCCACCAUGUGCAAGUGGGAUUACCUAAUCUCCCACUUAGCACAUGGUGGAGGACUCCCCCUCACUCCCAUUAAUUGUAUAUUAAUGUACCCCUCCUGUGAUGUGUUUGUGUGCGUAUGAAGAACACAGAGAGCAGCGUGAGAAACACAGAGAGAAGAGAGAACAGAGAAGAAUAGAGAGAGCUUGAGAGAGUAGAGUUGAGUUGAGAGAGUUUUAUCUCCUCCUCCUUUGUUUGUAUUGUUUGUAAGCUUCAUUAAUACAAACCAGUAGCUCCGUGGAGUAGGCAAGUUGCCGAACCACGUAAAUUGUGUGUGUUUGAGUUCUGGAAAUAUCCCAACAACUAGGCCCACGUUAAUUCACACCCUCUUUAAUUGACCCAACAAGACAAUGUCCUAACCAUACAGGUUCCUCUUCUACAGAUUCUGGAAAAAGAUUGUCUUGGGAACUUACAGUAGAUUUCGUUGGAACUCUUCUCUCAGGACGUAGCAUAGCUUCUUGAAUCUCUGUUUCUAAUCGGAACAGGGUAGCAACGAGAAGCUUGGAGUGGUCGCAGAAUGCCUUUCUUUUGUUCAUGAGGCUGCCUGUCGAAACGCUGAAGAUUUGCCAGCACCUUGUAGGAAUCAAAUCAAAGCCCCUUUUAAAAAUUUAAUGACCAAAAGGAAGAAAAUAAAAAAAAUCUGCCUUGUGUUUAAAAAAACACCUCCCUUCUGUUUCCUCAACAUGUUAGUUCAUAUUUUUGGUUGCAAAUCUUGUACCCC
rnacentral:lncRNA from 1 species